AUUAUUUUGGCAGAUUAGUGCAUUAAAUUUAGAAUUUAAUUAUGUAAUGAAAUUACAAAUAAU
rnacentral:tRNA from 1 species